CCCCUAUAAGUACCCGACUCCUUCACUGCCGACUUCACACCCACCGUAAUCACCUCUCGUUCACACCUCUUCACUGCCUUCUUCUUCUUUCGCCGGAGCUAGCCGGAGAAGACAACCGGAAUAACGCCAUCCGUUUCGAAGCACCAUAAACCCACCGAACGGCCACCGUUCUCUACUUUGCUUUCCUGUUUUAAACCGUCGCCGGGAACACCUCCUCGCCGGAACUCCGCCGCCGGAGCACCUCCGCGUCACCACCAUUCGCCGCCGUCGAACCGCCGGAUAACCGCUCUCGUUUUGUUUGUUCCUUUGGAUUUCUUUACUCGUGCGCUACCUUACAAGAAAUCGCAACGCAAGCAAUGUGAGUAUACUCGAUCCCAUUUUCGUUUUAAACACAUUUGGGUGCAACAUGUAUUCCGUAUUCAAAUUACACAACACUUGAGUCUUGUUUUUAAGCACACUCUAUCCGCAUUUAAACAUGAAACAAUUUGAUGCUUGUUAAUCUCUUAUGCUAUGCAAGUUGAACGUGUUAAUCGCAAUGCCCUUGAGUCUUGGGGUAUUGCGAUGUUGAACGAUAUGUGAACGAUGUUGAACGAUGUUGAACGAUAUGUGAACGAUAUGUGAACGAUGUUGAACGAUGUUGAACGAUGUUGAACGAGAUUGAACGAUGUUGAACGAUAUUGAAUGGCAAAGUAGUAACUUGUAUCAUUGUAUUCAUGUUGGAUAUGAGCACAUUUAAACACUUUAUUCUACUAUACUAUGUAUCAAACUUGUUGUUAGACGAAGUUAUCAAGAAAACAAGCUAGGAUGGCUUUAGAAACCCAUUUCAGCAAUUAAACAAUGCUUGAAUUUAUGUUUACUAUUUGAAACGAUGUAUCACUCUUUAGUUUUAAUAAAAUGGUUUAAUCUAUAUUGUCACAAUUAGUGUUAUGUUGUUUUGAGCAAUUUGUACGUCUCAUCCCGAUGUUUCCGCCAUCGGUUGGGGUGUGACAGAUUGGUAUCAGAGCCAUAACUAUAGGGGAUUAGGGAGGAUUGCCUUAUUUUUCCUUAGUCUAUAGUAGGAGUACUCUGAUACCAGAUUGGUAUCAGAGCCAUAACUAUUGGGAAUUAGGAAUGCCUUGCCUAGUCUAUAGUUCAGGAGCUUUUUCACUAUGUGUUGCUUAAAACAACUUCCAUUCUAUCUUCUUUGCUUCCCUCUACUUUCUUGGACUUUUAAUAUACAUGCCUUUCCUAAGGCUAAUACAAUACACACUUGGAGACUUUGAAGACACUCUUACAAUACAUUCGAAAUGACUCAUCAAGAUAGGGGUGAUUCCCACACUUGGUGAUGACUUUCACUCAGCUAUACUUUGAUUUUUGCACGAAAUCUACCCUCAAGUUAGGAGUGAUAUCCAAACCUUGAAGGGAGUUUUCCAUUUCAUACUCUAGUGGACCCUUAUCUUAUGAUAAGUACCAACCACAUUAGGGUACGAUGUUAUCAAGUUAGAGGUGAAACUCGCACCUUGUUUAACUAGUCCCACUCCUCGAUUUUCAAUCUCGCCAAAGUUUCGAUUUUCCCAAUCGAUUAAGGACGUGUAGUAACUGGAAGGACAAAUACUGUUAAUUGCUUCUCGAUGAGAGUAUUUGUCUAUUAGGCCAAAGCACGUUUCCUUAAUUCGAAAAGGACUUCGAUUUACUUUGGAAUAGUCAUAUGUUACGUUCCGUGACAAUCCAUGUUUUAUGUUAAAUCUUUUUAUGCUAUCUCAAUUUUCAUGUUUUUUACAUUUGUACGAUAUAUCAUUUCAAUUUAAUACAUGCAUACUAAUAUGUUAUACUGGAUUUGUGAUUACUGGGUUAUUCUUAUGUGAUAAACUUGUCUUUUAACCCACACCUUAACAUGUAUAGCACUAUGCGUAGUGCUAUAGGAGUAGCGCCCGCCCGUAUUCUAGUGGUCAUGUUAAAUUAACAACAUUACACCCUCUUCGUUGCGACGAUGUUGGGUAGUCAACUUUGCGGUACACGAUGGGUUGACCUGUUUAUUCACAUGCCAGUGAUACGUUAAUCUUGUUAACUAAGUAUGUAAUGUGAAUUGUUCUAAAUUUUAUGCUAAUACUCAUAUUUCCAAAAAUGGAAGCUUAUCGUAAAGAUAGGAGUGAUUUCUUUACCUUGACGAUUAGCUUCACUCAAUUUUCAACUUCACCAAUGAGCUAGGGGUGAUUUCCUUACCUCAGAGGUAGUUGCCAACUCUUUUUCGUUAUCAAUUAAACUUUAUAUUUGAAUGUUAUUUCCAUAUCAAACUUGAAGACACGUUACACACUAUCUUCGCAAUCUAAAACAAUUAAUAAUAAUCUCUCGUGAACAAACUAAAUUUACGAUGCUGUCAUUAUCUAUGUUACACUAUGUGAAAUCCAUGAUUAUGCUAUGUGAAACUAAAUGAACCUUUUAUAUGCUAUGUGAAACUAUUUGUUAUGUAACGCAUUCAUGAAAACAAUUUCUCUCAAAACUAUAUGAUCAAGUCUCAUUUACUCUACGGUUUCAUUUGAAUCUUUAGAAGUCUUACCCUUAGAUUUCGAGGACGAAAUCUCCUAAAGUAGGGGAGACUGUAACCUCCGUCAAAAUCGACCCGUUUCAAAAUCCGACCCGUUUAAAAAAAAAUGCGGAUCCUAAACUUUAGACCUCGGAAAUUUUCGCAAAAUAAAUAAUCGUGGAAAAAUAUCGUUAAUUUAAUCCGUUUAGAAAAAAAUGGUUAUUAUUAUUAUUAUUAUUUUAAAUUAGUUAAUCUUACAAUUUAAAAGUUUUACUCUUUUUAUAAAAAUAAUAACCUAGUUAGCCUCGUUAAGGUUUUAAAGCUAGUCGAGUUAACCUAGUUAAGUAAUAUAAACUUAAGGAACUAUUAUUCUAUUUAUAAAGAAAAGUAACUUACAGGGACUAUUUUAGCAUUUAACUUCAAUAAUAGUAAUAAGAACAUUAGCAAUAUCAUCAACAGUCACGAGGCCCA
rnacentral:lncRNA from 1 species